GAUCACAGCAGGAAAGAAGCUUUGUCAGAUGAGGCUGCCCUUAGCAAGUCUGUUUCUCCAACAAUUGAUGCUCGGUCCUUGCAAGUUCAGCAGUUUGUAAGAGCUUUGUUUCUCUCUCAUGGACAGUUUCUUACCUUCUCUGGCGCUUAUGUCUUUAUCAAUUGCUUUAGUAUGAUGGCUUAGAAGUUAGAACCACAUCUCUUUAAUUUGUGUCAUUUACCACAUUUUUAGCUUAAUUUUGUUGAUUCUGAUAAGCACUUAAGAAUUUAGGUCCAUGACUUCCUGUCAUUUCCCUUUGCUUUAUUUGAAGUUAGUGAUUUCUUUGUUGCCUCGUUGAUUGAGUUUGUUCUCCCAAAUCACGGAAAAUAAUGCCUGUCAAAAAUUAUAUACUUGAUUUUAAAUUUCUUUGAUUCAUCACGAAAUUUUUAUUAAAUUUUUAUAUUCUGAUCACUCAAACUCUCAUUACUCUAUGAAGCAUUAUUGAUGCAAUAGGUAUUUAAUCAUCUAGUUUAAAAGGAUAAUUGCUGAUAACCAUCAUUGUCCACUCCCAAUUAUUAUCUACAAUAUCAUUAAUUCUUAUACAAAUAGGGUGCCAUUAUUAAUAUUUUAACAUUCUUUUUUUUUUAUUGGAAAAAGUUUAAAAAUAGCAAAGUUAGAUGGUUCAAUCAUUAAACUAUAUGAACAUCAAGAAAGAAAAAACGUUGACAACAUAUCCUUUAUUCAUCCUUACUUGAUUAUUCCUUGGGCAUGCAAAUCAUAUGAGUAACACUAGCCCUUAAGUAAUUAGUGUAAGAAAUUUUAGGCGAAUUGUGCGUAGGGUGUGGAUUUUUUCAAUAUUUCACUUGAUGUCAAUGCAAUGCUUCCCUUCCUAAAUUAUAUGGUUUGCUUAGUGACUUUAAUUAUGAUUAAUUCAACAGAGCGGCAGAAAUGAAGACAACCCAAACAUGUCAAUAAGCGAAAACUUCAGCUCCACCACACCCUUCAAAGAAAAUGAAUCGAUUGAUCCUCCUUUGAAGCACAGAAGAC
rnacentral:lncRNA from 1 species